rnacentral:rRNA from 1 species
GAUGAACGCUGGCGGCGUGCUUAACACAUGCAAGUCGAACGGUUAAACCGCCUUCGGGCGGAUAUAGAGUGGCGAACGGGUGAGUAACACGUGACCAACCUGCCCACCGCUCCGGGAUAACGCGGGGAAACCCGCGCUAAUACCGGGUACUCCGGCACCGGCGCAUGCCGGUGCCGGGAAAGCAUCAGCGGCGGUGGAUGGGGUCGCGGCCCAUCAGGUAGUUGGGGGGGUAACGGCCCACCAAGCUUACGACGGGUAGCCGGGCUGAGAGGCUGAUCGGCCACAUUGGGACUGAGACACGGCCCAGACUCCUACGGGAGGCAGCAGUGGGGAAUUUUGCGCAAUGGAGGCAACUCUGACGCAGCAACGCCGCGUGCGGGAUGAAGGCCCUCGGGUUGUAAACCGCUUUCAGCAGGGAAGAAUCUGACUGUACCUGCAGAAGAAGCUCCGGCUAACUACGUGCCAGCAGCCGCCGUAAUAC